rnacentral:rRNA from 1 species
UAGGGAAUCUUCCACAAUGGGCGCAAGCCUGAUGGAGCAACGCCGCGUGAAUGAAGAAGGUCUUCGGAUCGUAAAGCUCUGUUGUAAGAGAAGAACGUGUGUGAGAGUGGAAAGUUCACACAGUGACGGUAACUUACCAGAAAGGGACGGCUAACUACGUGCCAG